UACGUAGGUGGCGAGCGUUAUCCGGAUUUACUGGGUGUAAAGGGUGAGUAGGCGGGAAUAUAAGUCAGAUGUGAAAUCCAAAGGCUUAACCUUUGAAUUGCAUUUGAAACUAUAUUUCUUGAGAGUCGGAGAGGUAAUCGGAAUUCCUAGUGUAGCGGUGAAAUGCGUAGAUAUUAGGAGGAACACCAGUGGCGAAGGCGGAUUACUGGACGACAACUGACGCUGAGACACGAAAGCGUGGGGAGCAAACAGGAUUAGAUACC
rnacentral:rRNA from 1 species